rnacentral:snRNA from 14 species
ACGAGGUCAAUGGGCGAUCGGCAAGGCCCAUGGCCUAGGUUGGUGACUUUCAUUGCACUUUGAAAGGGUGGCCGCCUAAGGUCAGUCCAAGUGGUCGUGCCUACGU